rnacentral:ribozyme from 1 species
ACGAUAACUCCGCCUGUAGCUCUUAUAGGGUUGCUGCCGGUCCCAAGCCCGGGUAAAGGAGGAGGGUUGA